UCCUGACCCAGGGAGGUAGUGCCAAGAAAUACCAAUACAGGGCUAUUCUAGUCUUGUAAUUGGAAUGAGUACAAUUUACAUCUCUUCACGAGGAUCAAUUGGAGGGCAAGUCUGGUGCCAGCAGCCGCGGUAAUUCCAGCUCCAAUAGCGUAUAUUAAAGUURUUGCAGUUAAAACGCUCGUAGUCGGAUUUCGGGGCGGGYCCRCCGGUCUGCCGAUGGGUACGCACUGGSSGKCGCGUCCUUCCUUCCGGAGACCGGCCCUACUCUUAACUGAGCGGGAUCGGGAGUCGGAWNGUUUACUUUGAAAAAAUCAGAGUGUUUCAAGCAGGCAGCUCGCUCUUGCAUGGAUUAGCAUGGGAUAAUGAAAUAGGACUUUGGUGCUAUUUUGUUGGUUUCCAACACCGAAGAUAAUGAUUAACAGGGACM
rnacentral:rRNA from 1 species